rnacentral:tRNA from 1 species
GCCUGGGUAGCUCAGUUGGUUGAGCAUCUGACUCUUUUGAUUUCAGCUCAGAUCAUGAUCCCAGGGUCAUGGGAUCAAGCCCUGUGUCAGGCU